UAUAUAUGUUAGAGUCAAAAUUAUGUUAGAGUCAAAAUUAGAUUUAGAAAAUUUACCUACAAAAAUAUUAAAUUAAUUAUGCGAAGACCAUUUAAAAAUAGAGAAGCUUUUUGAAAAAUUAAAGAAUCAUUAAUUAGUAAUUAUUCAGAAUAUAUAAGUCUAAAUAAAACAAAAGAAAAUCCACAAAAACUAGCCUACUUAAUUACAUUAAUAUCUAGUAUUGAAUCAAAAUUAAUAACACAUUUAAAAUCUAGAAGAAUGAAAC
rnacentral:lncRNA from 1 species